rnacentral:rRNA from 1 species
CCCUACGGGGGGCAGCAGUGGGGAAUAUUGGGCAAUGGGCGCAAGCCUGACCCAGCAACGCCGCGUGAAGGGAGAAGGCUUUCGGGUUGUAAACUUCUUUUCUCAGGGACGAAGCAAGUGACGGUACCUGAGGAAUAAGCCACGGCUAACUACGUGCCAGCAGCCGCGGUAAUACGUAGGUGGCAAGCGUUAUCCGGAUUUACUGGGUGUAAAGGGCGUGUAGGCGGGAAAGCAAGUCAGAUGUGAAAACUAUGGGCUUAACCCAUAGCCUGCUUUUGAAACUGUUUUUCUUGAGUGAAGUAGAG